UCCCUGGUGACUCAGUAAAGAACCUGCCUGCAACGCAGGAGACCCAGGUUCAAUUCCUGAUUUGGGAA
rnacentral:tRNA from 1 species